rnacentral:rRNA from 1 species
UACGUAGGGUGCAAGCGUUGUCCGGAAUUAUUGGGCGUAAAGAGCUCGUAGGCGGUCUGUCGCGUCUGCUGUGAAAAUCCAGGGCUCAACCCUGGACCUGCAGUGGGUACGGGCAGACUAGAGUGCGGUAGGGGAGAUCGGAAUUCCUGGUGUAGCGGUGAAAUGCGUAGAUAUCGGGAGGAACACCAGUGGCGAAAGCGGCUACCUGGCCCAUUCUUGACGCUGAGGCGCGAAAGCUAGGGGAGCAAACGGG